rnacentral:rRNA from 1 species
AAUCAACGCUGGCGGCGUGCCUCAGACAUGCAAGUCGAACGCGAAAGUCUCCUUCGGGGGGACAAGUAGAGUGGCGCACGGGUGAGUAACACGUAGGUAAUCUACCUUCGGAUGGGGAAUAACAACCGGAAACGGUUGCUAAUACCGCAUAAUGCAGCGGCACCUAAUGGUGACAGUUGUUAAAGCGGGGGAUCGAAAGACCUCGCGUCUGAAGAGGAGCCUGCGGCGGAUUAGCUUAGGNGGUAAGGUAACGGCUUACCAAGGCGACGAUCCGUAGCCGGCCUGAGAGGGCGGUCGGGCCACACUGACACUGACAUACGGGUCAGACUCCUAC